GGUAAGAUGGCUGAUAUAAGUGGUGGGUUGUAGCCCCAUAAAUGGAGGUUCGAGCCCUCCUCUUAUCA
rnacentral:tRNA from 1 species